GCCGAUGUAGCUCAGUGGUAGAGCAACCGAUUCGUAAUCGGUAGGUCGUGAGUUCAAAUCUCAUCAUCGGCU
rnacentral:tRNA from 7 species